UGGGGAAUAUUGCACAAUGGGCGCAAGCCUGAUGCAGCCAUGCCGCGUGUAUGAAGAAGGCCUUCGGGUUGUAAAGUACUUUCAGCGGGGAGGAAGGCGAUAAGGUUAAUAACCUUGUCGAUUGACGUUACCCGCAGAAGAAGCACCGGCUAACUCCGUGCCAGCAGCCGCGGUAAUACGGAGGGUGCAAGCGUUAAUCGGAAUUACUGGGCGUAAAGCGCACGCAGGCGGUCUGUCAAGUCGGAUGUGAAAUCCCCGGGCUUAACCUGGGAACUGCAUUCGAAACUGGCAGGCUAGAGUCUCGUAGAGGGGGGUAGAAUUCCAGGUGUAGCGGUGAAAUGCGUAGAGAUCUGGAGGAAUACCGGUGGCGAAGGCGGCCCCCUGGACGAAGACUGACGCUCAGGUGCGAAAGCGUGGGGAGCGAACAGG
rnacentral:rRNA from 1 species